GACGAACGCUGGCGGCGCGCUUAACACAUGCAAGUCGAGCGAGAACCGGGACUUCGGUCCCGGGGACAGCGGCGAACGGGUGAGUAACACGUGGGUAAUCAACCCUCGGCACCGGGAUAGCCCGAGGAAACUCGGAUUAAUACCGGAUAGCCCCUCCGACUCUCGAGUCGGUCGGGAAAGGUAGCUUAGGCCUCUGGCCGGGGACGAGCCCGCGGCGGAUUAGCUUGUUGGUGGGGUAAUGGCCUACCAAGGCAACGAUCCGAGCUGGUCUGAGAGGACGAUCAGCCACACUGGGACUGAGACACGGCCCAGACUCUUACGGGAGGCAGCAGUGGGGAAUCUUGCGCAAUGGGCGAAAGCCUGACGCAGCGACGCCGCGUGAGGGAAGAAGGCCU
rnacentral:rRNA from 1 species